GUUUACGAAAUGUUUGCGUGCAGUUAAAGUCGCAUACGACAUAACUCAUAUAAGGAUGGGUAUAUUUCAAAUUAUAUCAAUGUAACAAAGGCCAGCAAAUAUGAAAUACACACAUUUUUUAAUGUUAGUUUUCAUUUGCCUAGCUUCAUGCUAUGGCCAAAAAUUAUCAUUUAAAAGUAUUAUUGAAGAUUCCCAAGAAAACUUUAAACCUCUAAAGCGGGUACCCAGACAAGAGAUGUCCCAAUUUCCUGAUAUACCUCAACCACCAGAAACAAAACCCCUUAGCGAUGUGAUGCUACAAAUGAAAGACUUGGUCAAAGCGCGUAAAAGAAGAGAAGCCAAAGGAGUCGGUGGUUCUUUACCAACACGUAAAGGUUAAUCUUCUUAAUCUUUUUGCUCUAAGCCUGACACCAAUAAAGACUAACAAUUUUUACAUAACAAGGUACUGGAAGUAAAAUAAAUAUGAACAUUUCAGCAGA